GUCGACUGUUAAUGCAUUUAUGAUCGAUAAUGAUAGAUUGUCGACGAUAAUUUCGUAAAUGCAUUUACAACCGUAAAGUAUACUUUACGCCGUACAUCUAUAAUGGUCGACCGAAAAUCUAUCAUUAUCCCCGAUAAAUUGUGAUUAUCUCAUUUAUGUAGUUCCCGCGUGCCAUAUACACACUAUGUGAUACAUACAUUGUACUAUACGAUGGUGUCGAAAGAAAAUAACCGUUCAAGAUGGAAACAUGAUUAACAUUAUUGAAAGGAAAAGAAAAUCUUGUCGUAAAAAGUAACUAGUUUUACAGUGUGUUGCUUUAGAAUUUAAUGGUCAUUGGUUUAAGAGAAAAUUUCUAAACCAGUUAAUUCAAAAUAUGUUUAAUUAAUAUCAGAAAUAGCGAAAUCAACAUCUGAUGGUUGAAACUAUUCCACGUGACGUCGAACAAAACUUCAUAUUCCCUUCUGAGUAUCAUAUUCCCCUCUGAACGUCGGGAUAACCUUGAACGACGUUACCCACAGUUAAUAUUUUAAACUUUUUUAUCACAUUUUUUUUAAAGAUAGUAAAGUAAUUUCGUUUUUAAAAACUAUUUCAGACCUAAAAACAGAAAUAAAAAAAUAAUAAUAAAAAUACAUAUAUAUUGUUUUAUCAAUUUAAAUUCAUUAAACAAAUUCAUGAUAUUACAUGUGUUUCUAAUAUAUAGUUUUAUUACUAUAAUCAUAGUCCGCAGAAAAUAAUAUUUGCAAAACUUGAAAAAGUUGAAAAAAGUAAAAUCACAAAAAUACUGAACUCUACGGAAAUUCAAAACGGAAAGUCACUAAUCGAAUGGCAUAAUCAAAAGCUCAUACAAAUCAAACGAGUGGAUACCAACUAUCAUAUUCCUGACUUGUUACAGGCAUUUUCUUACGUAGAAAAUGGUAGAUUGAAACUGAUUUUAUAGCUAGCUAAAUCUCUCAUUUUUAUGACAGUCUCAUCAAAAUCCAUUAUAUUGACAAUGAUUCGUGAACAAAACAAACAAACAUAAUAGUUAAAAAUGUCAAAUAUACAGCAGUCAAUAUUGUGUUAUAAUCUUAAUGACUAAAAAAAACCAAACAAACAUGUAACAAAGAAGCACAAAAUAGCAUAAAUUUGCCAAAGCACAGUCAAUGGCACAAUUACUGGAUAUAUAAGCACAGAACCACGCGACAUACAUACAUGUACGAGAAUAUCACAAACUAAAAUGGCAGGACGUACAAGUACCACACGCAUCUUUAUCACAACAAAAAGAUCAAAUAUUUAAUAAAGAAGCACAACAGGCAUAUAUCAAACCUAACAACCUCACCUAUCGCUUUCCCAUUUUUGAACUUUUGCAUUUUAUCUAUGUAUGCCAAAUCCACUCAUAAACCAUGUACACAGUCCUGUCAAACGUAUAUCAUAUGAUAAGGCAGUUACAAGCGGCAUUUCGAGGAAAUAUUGUACGACUGACGUUUGGAUAACUGGGUUGCUCAAAUCUAUGGCUAAAAUAAGUAAUAUUUUCUUGGUGGUAAAACGACUAAUAUAUUAUCCCGGGUUGUAUUACAGCCAAUUUCAUUGAGCGUGUAGAUAAAGGUAAUACCUUUGAUUAAAUUGAAGUCAUUAUAAGGUUAGGUAAACUACCCUCCUUUAAGAAUUGUCUAGUCCGACAGACAACCAAUCUAUCUGUCUGUAGGACUAGGCCACUUCGAAAGGAGGGUAGUAUACCUUACCUAACAAUGACUUCAUGGUUCAGCUUGCAAGCAAGUUUAUCAAAGAUAUGACCUUUAGCUACACACUCAUUGAAAACGCUGUAAUUCAAUGAAAUAGUUUUGGUCGCUGUUUGCGAUUAGUCUUUCAUUAACCUUCGUUUCAGUUUAUAUUAACGAAAAGGCCCAACUUUCGCUAGUACAGGAAUAAGUUCCAUUAUGACAGCUAUAACAUGAGUAGCAGGACAAGUCGCAAACUAAACUGACAUUUCGAGGACUUGUACUUUUAAUUUAGUGAAUGCACCUUACUGAAGGGACGGAAGCCUUUAAAGAAUCUACUUUUUAUGAACUCACGAACAAUGAGGCAAAUAUUUGAACUUUGGAUAGUUGUUAUUAUUACCUUACUGUUUUCAUACACUUUCUGCUAUAUCUACUUAUAAAAUUCAUUUUCGGUCUUUGAAUCAACGAAAAAGUCGGACAUUUUUCUUAUUCUAGCUUAAUAUUAGCCGCCGAGUCCAAAAAAGUUUUUUUGUUUGCGGAGGAGAUUUCUAAUAUUCUCUUUUAAAUCUUAUGGGUUAAAGUUAACUGAUUUUGUUCAUAAAAAAAAUUGACUCAAAAGAUUUUCUAGAAUGAUAAAUCUUAAUUUUUUUUUUAUUUACAGUCAGUUGCCAUUUGUAGCAAUAUUUUUCCAGUUUAUUGAAAGCAGAUUAUAAACCGUUUAGUGAUUUUGAUAAUAGAAUGAAAUUCAAAACAGUGUGGCUGUGGCCAUUGAUUGACACAUUAAAUUCAUCCAUUGACUGGGACAAUUUACGUGAACGUUUGUAUGUAACGACCACUGCUCACUAUGUACCUUUUAAAGACACUUAAACUAUGGGGUCACCAAAGGUUCUCAACACCUUAAUAAAGUAAUUCGAAAAAUUAAUCAGAAAUAACACGAUGUUUU
rnacentral:lncRNA from 1 species